rnacentral:lncRNA from 1 species
CCUGAGCAAUAUGUACAGUCACAGUGAAAUAUGUACAUUUAGAUUAUCUGUAUGUGGUUAAAAACAUCUUUUGAUAUGGUGUAUCAUAAAUCUAGUGGCAAGAUCUCGAGUCCGAUUUGAAGGAGAGGAAGGGUUGGGAGUGAACAACUACAUGGAAGUGAGGCUGAGGGGCCACGCAAUAAAGCACAAUUAAUUAUUCAUAGAUUGCUUGGCCACUCAGCCUCACUUCCAUGUAGUUGUGACGUAAUUACCAGAAAGGUCUGUUGUAGUUGACAUGUUUGACAAUAUUUACAUGUUUCUUUUCAAGUUUUGGAAAAUACGGUACAGCCGUUUUUACUCUAUCGCUUCAUCAGAAAAAAAGCAACCGUAACGGUUGUCUAAAUAACACAAGAAGUUGAUACAUAGCACGAUAUUUGCACAGAAUAUUUGCUAUAUUUUUUCUUAGCAAGCAAACACGUUUUAAAUUAUCGGAAGUAAGGAUAUCAAGUGCUCGAAGCAAGCAUAUAUAUAUAUAUAUAUAUAUAUAUAU